rnacentral:rRNA from 1 species
CUGAACCUUCGGGGAACGAUAACGGCGUCGAGCGGCGGACGGGUGAGUAAUGCCUAGGAAAUUGCCUUGAUGUGGGGGAUAACCAUUGGAAACGAUGGCUAAUACCGCAUAAUGCCUACGGGCCAAAGAGGGGGACCUUCGGGCCUCUCGCGUCAAGAUAUGCCUAGGUGGGAUUAGCUAGUUGGUGAGGUAAUGGCUCACCAAGGCGACGAUCCCUAGCUGGUCUGAGAGGAUGAUCAGCCACACUGGAACUGAGACACGGUCCAGACUCCUACGGGAGGCAGCAGUGGGGAAUAUUGCACAAUGGGCGAAAGCCUGAUGCAGCCAUGCCGCGUGUAUGAAGAAGGCCUUCGGGUUGUAAAGUACUUUCAGUUGUGAGGAAGGGGGUGUCGUUAAUAGCGGCAUCUCUUGACGUUAGCAACAGAAGAAGCACCGGCUAACUCCGUGCCAGCAGCCGCGGUAAUACGGAGGGUGCGAGCGUUAAUCGGAAUUACUGGGCGUAAAGCGCAUGCAGGUGGUUCAUUAAGUCAGAUGUGAAAGCCCGGGGCUCAACCUCGGAACUGCAUUUGAAACUGGUGAACUAGAGUACUGUAGAGGGGGGUAGAAUUUCAGGUGUAGCGGUGAAAUGCGUAGAGAUCUGAAGGAAUACCAGUGGCGAAG